GCGCUCAUACCAGCACUAAUGCACCGGAUCCCAUCAGAACUCCGCAGU
rnacentral:rRNA from 1 species